rnacentral:rRNA from 1 species
ACGGAAGGCAGCAGUGAGGAAUAUUGGUCAAUGGGCGGAAGCCUGAACCAGCCAAGUCGCGUGAAGGAUGAAGGUAUUAUGUAUUGUAAACUUCUUUAGCAGCAGAGUAAUAAGGGGGUCGUGACCCCCGAUGCAAGUAUGCUGAAAAUAAGGAUCGGCUAACUCCGUGCCAGCAGCCGCGGUAAUACGGAGGAUCCGAGCGUUAUCCGGAUUUAUUGGGCUUAAAGGGUGCGCAGGCGGUUUUUUAAGUCAGUGGUUAAAUCGUGAGGCUCAACCUCAUCACGCCAUUGAUACUGGAAGACUUGAUUGCGGUUGAGGUUGGCGGAAUUCGUCGUGUAGCGGUGAAAUGCAUAGAUAUGACGAAGAACACCGAUUGCGUAGGCAGCUGACCAAGCCGUAAAUGACGCUCAUGCACGAAAGUGCGGGGAUCGAACAGGAUUAGAUACCCUGGUA